CAAGGAUCCCUUAGUGGCCCUUACAUCUGACACCUUUGACCUCAAAUCAGGUAGGACUACCCGCUGAACUUAAGCAUAUCAAUUAGCGGAGGA
rnacentral:rRNA from 1 species